rnacentral:misc_RNA from 1 species
GAUGAAGAACGCAGCGAAAUGCGAUAAGUAAUGUGAAUUGCAGAAUUCAGUGAAUCAUCGAAUCUUUGAACGCACAUUGCGCCCGCCAGCAUUCUGGCGGGCAUGCCUGUUCGAGCGUCAUUUCAACCCUCGAGCCCCCCCGGGGGCCUCGGUGUUGGGGGACGGCACACCAGCCGCCCCCAAAAUGCAGUGGCGACCCCGCCGCAGCCUCCCCUGCGUAGUAGCACACACCUCGCACCGGAGCGCGGAGGCGGUCACGCCGUAAAACGCCCAACUUUCUUAGAGUUGACCUCGGAUCAGGUAGGAAUACCCGCUGAACUUAAGCAUAUCAAUAAGCGGAGGA